CGCGUAGGUGGUUAGGUAAGCGAGAUGUGAAAGCCCCGGGCUUAACCUGGGAACGGCAUUUCGAACUGUCUGACUAGAGUAUGGUAGAGGGUAGUGGAAUUUCCUGUGUAGCGGUGAAAUGCGUAGAUAUAGGAAGGAACACCAGUGGCGAAGGCGGCUACCUGGACCAAUACUGACACUGAGGUGCGAAGGCGUGGGGAGCAAACA
rnacentral:rRNA from 1 species